rfam:Tepidiphilus thermophilus strain JCM 19170 genome assembly, contig: Ga0061068_113
GGGGCCGUACCUGGCUUCGACGGGGGUCGCAAAGCAGCACAGCGCAUACCGAGGACCAGUCCCCUCGUAAAUCCACUGGAAAGCAAACAAACGCCAACGACGAGCGUUUCGCUCUCGCCGCCUGAGGGCGGCGAGCGCUGCACCGGCUGGCCUCUGGGCCGGAUGAUGGCGUAAGCCAUCUCGCAGCGUCAUUCACAGAGGCUCGUCCCCGGGUCGGGCCGCUUGGCUCGGGGCCUAAAACCAAGGCGGCUCGCGUCGGUGCGGUGAGCCUACCCACCCACACCGGCGCUAAAUUCAAACGGUAGGCUAAGUAUGUAGACCUGGCUGUAGAGGGCUUCCGGACGGGGGUUCGACUCCCCCCGGCUCCACCA